rnacentral:rRNA from 1 species
CGAUGGUUGUCGUCAGCUCGUGUCGUGAGAUGUUGGGUUAAGUCCGCAACGAGCGCAACCCUUAUUGCUAGUUACCAUCAUUAAGUUUGGGGACUCUAGCGAGACUGCCAGUGAUAAACUGGAGGAAGGUGGGGGAUGACGUCAAAUCAUCAUGCCCCUUAUGACCUGGGCUACAAACGUGAUACAAUGGCUGAAACAAAGGGCAGCGAAGCAGUGAUGUGGAGCGAAACCCAAAAAAGCAGUCUCAGUUCGGAUUGAAGUCUGCAACUCGACUUCAUGAAGUUGGAAUCGCUAGUAAUCGUAGAUCAGAACGCUACGGUGAAUACGUUCCCGGGCCUU